UACGUAGGGUGCGAGCGUUGUCCGGAAUUAUUGGGCGUAAAGAGCUUGUAGGCGGUUUGUCGCGUCUGCUGUGAAAAUCCGGGGCUCAACCCCGGACUUGCAGUGGGUACGGGCAGGCUAGAGUGUGGUAGGGGAGACUGGAAUUCCCGGUGUAGCGGUGAAAUGCGCAGAUAUCGGGAGGAACACCAAUGGCGAAGGCAGCUCGCUGGGACGGUACUGACGCUGAGACGCGAAAGCGUGGGGAGCAAACAGG
rnacentral:rRNA from 1 species